rnacentral:rRNA from 1 species
AGCGAACGCUGGCGGCAGGCCUAACACAUGCAAGUCGAACGCACCUUCGGGUGAGUGGCGGACGGGUGAGUAACACGUGGGAACGUACCUUUUGGUUCGGAAUAACGCAGGGAAACUUGUGCUAAUACCGAAUGUGCCCUUCGGGGGAAAGAUUUAUCGCCAUUAGCGCGGCCCGCGUUAGAUUAGCUAGUUGGUGAGGU